rnacentral:lncRNA from 1 species
GUGUUGAUCAUGUUGUGUGUUCUGUUUAGCCAUGAUUUUUCUUGAGAUUAAUUGAACCAUUUUGGAAUUAAUGUGCAUUUGUUCAUUCUGUUGCUUCAAUGUGCUUCCAACUUGCAUACCUUGCCUUAUUUGGAUUGUGUUCUUAAUUGAUUAAGGUUGAUUCAUGUUGAAUUUCAUGUUCUAUUUUGGAUUAUUUAUCCAUCUUUGACCCUAGGCCUUGCCCUAGUGGUUUGUUGCUUAUGUUUGAGCUUUGUUUUC